AUUUAUAUAGUUUAAAAUAAAACAAUACAUUUUCAUUGUAUAAAUAAUAUAGAUAUUUAUUUAUAAAUA
rnacentral:tRNA from 1 species